AUGGCCGUCCUACGCAUCCCAAAGAAAUUCUUCAAAGACAUGGACCAGGCCAGACGGCGAUUCUUAUGGGCCCAAGACGAGGAGAUCACUGGAGGGAAGUGCAAGGUUAACUGGCAGACAGUCACGCCGCCGGUGGACCGCGGUGGCUUCGGGAUCCCGGACGUGGAGCGAUUCGCGCGCGCGCUCCGGCUUUGCUGGCUCUGGUUGGCAUGGACCGACCCAGCGCGGCUGUGGGUGGGCAUAGGAUCACCAUGCGAUGCCAAAGACCGGGCUCUCUUCGCCUCGGCCACAAAGGUGGAGGUGGGCGACGGGAACCAGGCCCUCUUCUGGCACUGCCCAUGGCUAGGCGAGCAGCCGCUCAACCAGGCCUUCCCGCUGCUGUUCGGCCAAUCCGUCAGGAAGAACCGCACGGUGGCGGAGACCCUGCAUGGAUACAGAUGGGUGCUCGAUCUGAGGCACGGUGACACUAUGGAUAUCAUCCCCCAGGUCAUCCUGCUGCGGCACCAGAUCAGCGCGGCCAACCUGAUUCUCCGAGAAGGGGUGGUUGACGUGAUCAGAUGGAAGACGGGAGGCCAAUACACAGCGAGAGCAGCCUACAGAAUACAAUUCCCAGACAGGCCAAGGGAGCAGCUUCAACAACUCGUAUGGAAGAUCUGGGCGCCGGGCAAGGUCAAAUUUUUCCUCUGGCUACUGCACCUUAUUCGCCUCUAG
rnacentral:rRNA from 1 species